UUAAAACAAUAAAAUGGAAUGCCUUGAUCUCUCCCUCUUUACAUACUCUCCUUUUUUAAUAAAGGAUGGAUUGUCCCCCUGGUGGAGGGACAAAGAGAGGAGGCUAAAACUGUCGCGUUUGUGUCCCUCUUUCCGUGGAUUUUUCCACUAACUGCAAAUAAUAUUGUCGACUUAUUUGUUCCCCAGUGGAGCUGCCAACUGAAUAUGGUGACCUGCUCCUACACACAGAAAUCCGAUGGCUCAGCAGGGGACGGAUUCUGCUUCCUUCUUUUGUCCCUUUUGAGUGAAAUAAAAGAGUUCAUGCAGUCCAGAGGGGAAGACGCCGCGCUGCUGGAGGACACUGACUGGACACUGGACCUUGCAUUUUUAACGGACAUUACUGGGAAACGGAACAGUUUGAACUGGGAGCUGCAAGGCAAAGCAACGAUGCCCAAUUCAACGUGGCCUACUACUGCAACGUUCUGGUGGAUUCAACAGGUCUCUGCUACUGGUUACCACCCGCCAUCUUCAGAUCGUCCUGCUCCAUCAGCGUCAAAUAUUUCCCCUUUGACUGGCAGGACUGCACGCUCAAAUUCACGUAUGCACGGGCAGGAUUUUUCAUUGUUGUUUGAAACGCAGACAAACUCUGACAUGAUGUUUUAAACUGAGCUGAGUCAAGAUUUUAUAGAAUCUAAACACAUAUGAGAGGAGAAAAAGGUGCAAAAAUAAAAUGCACGGUGCAGCUAAACUCUCCCAGUAGGAAAAGAGGCUUUUUAAAUUCUGAACUGCAUUUCCCAUGUUGCCUUGCAGCUCUCUAACGUACAAUGCCAAAGAGAUCAGGUUGCUCCUGAAGGAAGACAUAGUCAUUGAAACCAAGUGG
rnacentral:lncRNA from 1 species